UACGUAGGUGGCGAGCGUUGUCCGGGUUUACUGGGCGUAAAGAGCGCGCAGGCGGCUGGUCAAGUCCGAUGUGAAAGCUCCCGGCUUAACUGGGAAAUUGCAUCGGAAACUGAUCGGCUGGAAGGUGGGAGAGGGUAGCGGAAUUCCCGGUGUAGUGGUGAAAUGCGUAGAUAUCGGGAGGAACACCAGUGGCGAAAGCGGCUACCUGGCCCAUUCUUGACGCUGAGGCGCGAAAGCUAGGGGAGCAAACGGG
rnacentral:rRNA from 1 species